rnacentral:misc_RNA from 1 species
UUGCUGUUGCCUGCACUCUAGACUACAGAAAGCACUAUCCCCCCUAUACAUGUAGAUGUCACGACCAGGGACCAAGCGGCGCUUGCAGAGGAAGCAAGCGCUCAAGAAGUGAGCAGUUUCCAAGAAAUCAGCAGAAGACCUUCUAUGGGUUCUGGGUGAGACGGUGGCAGACAAGAACCGUUGAUCUACCUGGCCACCGAAUCCCGCCAUCUGUUUGUGGGCGGUGUGCGGAUCAGACGACGGUGGAACUGAUUCACAGUCUAGAUCAAAGG